AACACACACAGUCCAUUGACUUCAAAGCUAACCUGAAGACAGUGAAGAAAGAAGAGGAGAAGAAAGGAGAGGUGACUGACUGGCGUAAAAACGUAGAGGCUAUGUCUGGAAUGGAGGGCAGGAAGAAGCUGUUUGAUGCUGGACAGUAAAAGAUGGCAGCAGUACUAAACCAAAGAUGAUGUCAAAGAUGUAAUCACUGUUUUUGACUAACAAUGUUUCACUGUAACGUGCUUUCUUACUAUUAGUUAAGGCAAACUGAUCAGUUUCACAGAAUGCAGGGUAACAGUUUACAAUAAAAUCCUAUUAGUUAAUGCAUUAACUAACAAUGAGCAGUACAUUUGUAACAGUAUUUAUU